rnacentral:rRNA from 1 species
CCCGCUGAACUUAAGCAUAUCAAUAAGCGGAGGAAAAGAAACCAACAGGGAUUGCCCCAGUAACGGCGAGUGAAGCGGCAACAGCUCAAAUUUGAAAUCUGGCACCUGGUGCCCGAGUUGUAAUUUGCAGAGGAUGCUUUUGGCGAGGCGCCUUCCGAGUUCCCUGGAACGGGACGCCAUAGAGGGUGAGAGCCCCGUCUGGUUGGAUGCCGAGCCUCUGUAAAGCUCCUUCGACGAGUCGAGUAGUUUGGGAAUGCUGCUCUAAAUGGGAGGUAUAUGUCUUCUAAAGCUAAAUAUUGGCCAGAGACCGAUAGCGCACAAGUAGAGUGAUCGAAAGAUGAAAAGCACUUUGAAAAGAGGGUUAAAAAGUACGUGAAAUUGUUGAAAGGGAAGCGCUCAUGACCAGACUUGGGCCCGGUGAAUCAUCCAGCGUUCUCGCUGGUGCACUUUGCCGGGUCCAGGCCAGCAUCAGUUUGCCCCGGGGGAUAAAGGCUUCGGGAAUGUGGCUCCUCCGGGAGUGUUAUAGCCCGUUGCAUAAUAUCCUGGGGCGGACUGAGGUUCGCGCAUCUGCAUGGAUGCUGGCGUAAUGGUCAUCAGCGACCCGUCUUGAAACACGG